rnacentral:rRNA from 1 species
CCCAGUUCGGAUCGCAGGCUGCAACCCGCCUGCGUGAAGUUGGAAUCGCUAGUAAUCGCGGAUCAGCAUGCCGCGGUGAAUACGUUCCCGGGCCUUGUACACACCGCCCGUCACACCAUGAGAGUCGGGAACACCCGAAGUCCGUAGCCUAACCGCGAAGGGGGCGCGGCCGAAGGUGGGUUCGAUAAUUGGGGUGAAGUCGUAACAAGGUAAC